rnacentral:lncRNA from 1 species
CUAAGGUUCUAUAUACAAUUUCUAGGAAAAUCUGGUGCUCAACAAAAUUAAACAAGCUAACAUUUUCUUUGCCCCUCACGUUGGCAUAAGUUUCCAGUAGAGAAAUCAACCAUAAAUGAACAAUUGAUAGGAAACAUGCAUAUUCAUUAAAAUUAGAAAAAACAGGAAAUCCAAAGAAAUUCACAAGAACUGAUUGAAUUAUAAAUUGGAGAGGCAAAUGAAGCAGAAACGGACCUUCAAACAAAGUAGAAUCCCGAACAACACUAUUCAAACGAACAAUUGAUAGGAAUCUCGAUAUGGCGGCGGAACCAGAAAUGAAAUAUCGACCGGAGCUGCGACAUUGACCUCGGCGCACCUCAAAUCUACUGGGUUUGGAUGGUGCUUUUAAGCUGUUUCCCGCAUUGGUUCGGGGUUGAUUUAGGGACUGUUUUAAGCUAGUUUCAGGCUGAAAUUGGUUGGGGAUUUUCCUAUUUUUUCAGUGGAGAAUCAGCAGACUUUUCUGCUACUGUGAGGAAGGAGAAGCAGUCCCGUUUUUGCGUGUGUGCUGUUGGAUGGAUGGUGGUCGCAGGGCUUUGGUGCUGAGCCGCUGUUAGGUGGAGGGUCGGUUGGCUGCUGGCUGGUGAAAUUUGAGAGCAGUCACGAGGGUGGUGUUGGGCUGCUGCGCGUGAAUGUAUGGCUGCAUUUUACGGCGGGCUAGCAGCAAUUGGGGGUGUGAGAGGAGAUGUCGGCGGGACUGGCUAUUACGGUGUUAUAGGGUUCUAGAGUUUUUUGCUUGUAUUCUGUAAUGAGAAGAAAGAUGUAGUCUAGUAGCUAGGGUUUUUUUA